rnacentral:rRNA from 1 species
GAUGAACGCUAGCUACAGGCUUAGCACAUGCAAGUCGAGGGGCAGCAUGAAAGGAACUUCGGUUCUUUUUGAUGGCGACCGGCGCACGGGUGCGUAACGCGUAUCGAACCUGCCUCAUACUCGGGGAUAGCCUUGCGAAAGUAAGAUUAAUACCCGGCGGUCUCGGAUGGCCGCAUGACUAUCCGAGUGAAGAUUUAUCGGUAUGAGAUGGCGAUGCGUCCCAUUAGCUAGUUGGUGAGGUAAUGGCUCACCAAGGCAUCGAUGGGUAGGGGUUCUGAGAGGAAGGUCCCCCACAUUGGAACUGAGACACGGUCCAAACUCCUACGGGAGGCAGCAGUGAGGAAUAUUGGUCAAUGGACGAAAGUCUGAACCAGCCAAGUAGCGUGCAGGAUGACGGCCCUCUGGGUUGUAAACUGCUUUUAGUUGGGAAUAAAAAGAGGGACGUGUCCCUUAUUGUAUGUACCAUCAGAAAAAGGACCGGCUAAUUCCGUGCCAGCAGCCGCGGUAAUACGGAAGGUCCAGGCGUUAUCCGGAUUUAUUGGGUUUAAAGGGAGCGCAGGCGGCGGCGUAAGUCAGUUGUGAAAUCGUGCGGCUUAACCGUGCAAUUGCAGUUGAUACUGCGUCGCUUGAGUGCACACAGGGACGUUGGAAUUCAUGGUGUAGCGGUGAAAUGCUUAGAUAUCAUGAAGAACUCCGAUCGCGAAGGCAUAUGUCCGGAGUGCAACUGACGCUGAGGCUCGAAAGUGUGNGUAUCANACAGG